rnacentral:rRNA from 1 species
CCUUCGGGUUGUAAACCACUUUUGUCAGGGAAGAAAUCGAAUCCAUUAAUACUGGGUUUGGAUGACGGUACCUGGAGAAUAAGCACCGGCUAACUACGUGC